ensembl:snoRNA U8 U8 small nucleolar RNA
UCAUCUGUAAGUGCAAUGGAAAGCCAUUGGGGAUUUUAGCAUAGUUGUAACAUGAUACCAGAACAUGAUGAUUGGAGCUUGCAUAAUUCGUGAUUAACGGCUCUGCGUAAUCAGUACUUGCAACACACUGAUUGCUCCUAUCUGAU